CCAUCCCCCUGCAGGACCUGGAGUUCCAGCUGUUCUGCUCCUGAGUUUCAUCGAUGUGAACUCCUAUUUCAUCUUGGAGAACAACCUCCCUCUCCGCUCCGCUCUGGAGACGAAGAAGAGGAUUCGGAAUGAAACACACACGAUAACUAAUGACAACUUUGGUACAAAUGCGCUGCCUCUGAAGCUCAUCUAUCCUCCCGACUUCUCCGAAUCCUUCCUCUACGGCCUUCUGCUCAUUGUGUAAGCCCAUUCCACUUUAUUACAUUUACAUUUUUACACCAUCCACUUCACCG